rnacentral:rRNA from 1 species
AUGUCGUAGACCCGAAACCAUGUGACCUACCCAUGAGCAGGUUGAAGGUGAGGUAAAACUCACUGGAGGACCGAACCAGGGCACGUUGAAAAGUGCUUGGAUGACUUGUGGGUAGCGGAGAAAUUCCAAACGAACUUGGAGAUAGCUGGUUCUCUCCGAAAUAGCUUUAGGGCUAGCGUCGAUGUUAAGUCUCUUGGAGGUAGAGCACUGUUUGGGUGAGGGGUCCAUCCCGGAUUACCAAUCUCAGAUAAACUCCGAAUGCCAACGAGAUAUAAUCGGCAGUCAGACUGCGAGUGCUAAGAUCCGUAGUCGAAAGGGAAACAGCCCAGACCACCAGCUAAGGUCCCAAAAUAUAUGUUAAGUGGAAAAGGAUGUGGGGUUGCACAGACAACUAGGAUGUUAGCUUAGAAGCAGCUAUUCAUUCAAAGAGUGCGUAAUAGCUCACUAGUCGAGUGACCCUGCGCCGAAAAUGUACCGGGGCUAAAACAUAUUACCGAAGCUGUGGAUACCUUUAUAGGUAUGGUAGGAGAGCGUUCUAUGUGCGAAGAAGGUGUACCGUGAGGAGUGCUGGAGCGCAUAGAAGUGAGAAUGCCGGUAUGAGUAGCGAAAGACAGGUGAGAAUCCUGUCCACCGUAAGACUAAGGUUUCCAGGGGAAGGCUCGUCCGCCCUGGGUUAGUCGGGACCUAAGGAGAGACCGAAAGGUGUAUCCGAUGGACAACAGGUUGAUAUUCCUGUACUAGAGUAUAUAGUGAUGGAGGGACGCAGUAGGCUAACUAAACCAGACGAUUGGAAGUGUCUGGCCAAGCAGUGAGGUGUGAUAUGAGUCAAAUGCUUAUAUCUAUAACAUUGAGCUGUGAUGGGGAGCGAAGUUUAGUAGCGAAGUUAGUGAUGUCACACUGCCGAGAAAAGCUUCUAGCGUUAAUUAUACUCUACCCGUACCGCAAACCGACACAGGUAGUCGAGGCGAGUAGCCUCAGGUGAGCGAGAGAACUCUCGUUAAGGAACUCGGCAAAAUGGCCCCGUAACUUCGGGAGAAGGGGCGCUGACUUAUGGUCAGCCGCAGUGAAUAGGCCCAAGCAACUGUUUAUCAAAAACACAGCUCUCUGCUAAAUCGUAAGAUGAUGUAUAGGGGGUGACGCCUGCCCGGUGCUGGAAGGUUAAGAGGAGUGCUUAGCAAUAGCGAAGGUAUGAAUUGAAGCCCCAGUAAACGGCGGCCGUAACUAUAACGGUCCUAAGGUAGCGAAAUUCCUUGUCGGGUAAGUUCCGACCCGCACGAAAGGCGUAAUGAUUUGGGCACUGUCUCAACGAGAGACUCGGUGAAAUUUUAGUACCUGUGAAGAUGCAGGUUACCCGCGACAGGACGGAAAGACCCCAUGGAGCUUUACUGCAGUUUGAUAUUGAGUAUCUGUACCACAUGUACAGGAUAGGUAGGAGCCUAUGACCUCGGGACGCCAGUUUCGAGUGAGGCGUUGUUGGGAUACUACCCUUGUGUUAUGGCUACUCUAACCCAGAUAGGUUAUCCCUAUCGGAGACAGUGUCUGACGGGCAGUUUGACUGGGGCGGUCGCCUCCUAAAAGGUAACGGAGGCGCCCAAAGGUUCCCUCAGAAUGGUUGGAAAUCAUUCGCAGAGUGUAAAGGUAUAAGGGAGCUUGACUGCGAGAGUUACAACUCGAGCAGGGACGAAAGUCGGGCUUAGUGAUCCGGUGGUUCCGCAUGGAAGGGCCAUCGCUCAACGGAUAAAAGCUACCCUGGGGAUAACAGGCUUAUCUCCCCCAAGAGUUCACAUCGACGGGGAGGUUUGGCACCUCGAUGUCGGCUCGUCGCAUCCUGGGGCUGUAGUCGGUCCCAAGGGUUGGGCUGUUCGCCCAUUAAAGCGGCACGCGAGCUGGGUUCAGAACGUCGUGAGACAGUUCGGUCCCUAUCCGUCGCGGGCGUAGGAAAUUUGAGAGGAUCUGCUCCUAGUACGAGAGGACCAGAGUGGACUUACCGCUGGUGUACCAGUUGUUCUGCCAAGAGCAUCGCUGGGUAGCUAUGUAGGGAAGGGAUAAACGCUGAAAGCAUCUAAGUGUGAAGCCCACCUCAAGAUGAGAUUUCCCAUGAUUUUAUAUCAGUAAGAGCCCUGAGAGAUGAUCAGGUUGAUAGGUUAGAAGUGGAAGUGUGGUGACACAUGUAGCGGACUAAUACUAAUAGCUCGAGGACUUAUCCAA